GGGAGAGGGAUAGGGCACCCAGCAAGCAGGGGCUGCUUAGAAUGCAGAGGGAGAGGCAGAGCGCAGGCAGGAGGAACCGAGGGGCUCGGCAAACCACGCCCAUGGCCACAGGCUUUCCGACCCAGAGCUCUGAGGACAGAGUGGAUAGGAAGAAAGGUCUGAGAAGGUGGGCCAGCCCCCUCUGCCCCUGCCCGGCUGGAGGCCAGUGCCACCUGCACAGAAGCCUCCUCUGCCGACAGCUCCUGAGGCCUCAGGAGGCUCCCUGCCAUCCCGGGAGGGGCAUCCUGGCCUGUGGGCAGAGCUGGAAGGAGAGAAUUUCAGGCCCAUCCCCAUCCCCUUCGAGCCUCCCAUGGGGGCGGGGGGUGCCCAGGCCCACCUCCUCUGGA